CCUACGGGAGGCAGCAGUGAGGAAUAUUGGUCAAUGGACGCAAGUCUGAACCAGCCAAGUAGCGUGCAGGAUGACUGCCCUCCGGGUUGUAAACUUCUUUUAUUUGGGAAUAAAAUGAGGCUCGUGAGCCCCUUAUUGUAUGUACCAUCAGAAAAAGUACCGUCUAAUUCCGUGCCAGCCGCCGCGGUAAUACGGAAGCUCCGGGCGUUAUCCGGAUUUAUUGGUUUUAAAGGGAGCGUAGGCGGGCUUUUAAGUCAGCUGUGAAAGUCUGCGGCUCAACCGUGGAAUUGCAGUUGAGACUGGCGGCCUUGAGUACAGUCAGGGAUGCCGGAAUUCGUGGUGUAGCGGUGAAAUGCUUAGAUAUCACGAAGAACUCCGAUUGCGAAGGCAAGUGUC
rnacentral:rRNA from 1 species